rnacentral:rRNA from 1 species
GACGAACGCUGGCGGCGUGCCUAACACAUGCAAGUCGAGCGGGGGGAGUACUUCGGUACAAACCUAGCGGCGGACGGGUGAGUAACACGUGGGUAACCUGCCUCAAAGUGGGGGAUAGCCUUCCGAAAGGAAGAUUAAUACCGCAUAACCCAUAGCUUCCGCAUGGAAGCAAUGGUAAAGAUUUAUCGCUUGGAGAUGGACCCGCGGCGCAUUAGCUAGUUGGUGAGGUAACGGCUCAUCAAGGCCACGAUGCGUAGCCGACCUGAGAGGGUGAUCGGCCACAUUGGAACUGAGACACGGUCCAGACUCCUACGGGAGGCAGCAGUGGGGAAUAUUGCACAAUGGGCGAAAGCCUGAUGCAGCAGCGCCGCGUGAGUGAUGAAGGCCUUCGGGUUGUAAAGCUCUGUCUUUUGGGACGAUAAUGACGGUACCAAAGGAGGAAGCCACGGCUAACUACGUGCCAGCAGCCGCGGUAAUAC